rnacentral:rRNA from 1 species
UACGUAGGGUGCAAGCGUUGUCCGGAAUUAUUGGGCGUAAAGAGCUUGUAGGCGGUUUGUCGCGUCUGCUGUGAAAUUUCGGGGCUCAACCCCGAACUUGCAGUGGGUACGGGCAGACUAGAGUGUGGUAGGGGAGACUGGAAUUCCUGGUGUAGCGGUGAAAUGCGCAGAUAUCAGGAGGAACACCGAUGGCGAAGGCAGGUCUCUGGGCCACUACUGACGCUGAGGAGCGAAAGCCAGGGGAGCAAACGGG